AUAGGUUCCAGUGAGUGUUUAUCGAAGGGGAUCUUGUUGUGAUUUCGCUUCCUGUUCUGUGGACUCUUAAGUGUUUCAUUCAGAGUUACGGUGAAUGAAAAAUGGCAUCUGCCCCACAUAACUUUUCCUGGAUUGAACCCAAAAAGCUGGCUGGGAUGGCAAUGCCACGAUUACCUGCUCACUACCAGUAUUUGUAUGAUAAUGGCAUUAAACACCUUGUCACACUCAGUGAGAGGAAGCCACCAUACCACGAUACUUGUCCGGGAUUGAAGAUCCAUCAUAUAAAGAUCGAUGAUUUUUGUCCACCCUCUUUUGAACAGAUCAAAAGGUUUCUUGCUGUUGUUGAGGAAGCCAGUGCAAAGGGCGAGGGAGUUGGAGUCCACUGUCUUCAUGGCUUUGGGAGAACUGGAACGAUGCUUGCUUGUUAUCUUGUAAAAAGUAAGAAAAUAACAGGAGUUGAUGCAAUUGCAGAAAUACGAAGGAUUCGUCGUGGUUCUAUAGAAACCCAUGAACAAGAAAAAUCAGUUAUUCAAUUCUAUCAACGUACAAAAUAAGUAAAUUUCAAUUAUUACCAUUGUACAAAUGGUCUAUUACGAUUUUUCCACAAGGUGGUAUGAUCAUUACUGAAUUCCCCUGCUGUCAACAUUGGGGUUCGAGGAGGGGCUGGAGGACAGCUCAUCACCAUUGACCAGAAACUGAACCAGACUAUUCUUAUAAAUACUGUGGAUACAAGAGAGAUCAUAAGAUAUGAAUUCUGUAGCUAGUGACACACAUUCUGACUUCCCAAAGUCUGUCCAUCAUCUACAGGUCAGGAAUGUGAUAGGAGCCUGAAAGACUGCAGCUGAAAAAUAUGUUGCUGGAAAAGCGCAGCAGGUCAGGCAGCAUUCAAGGAGC